rnacentral:tRNA from 1 species
GCUCUGGUGUUGGAAUUGGUAGACAAGAGGGACUUAAAAUCCCUUGGGCAGAAAUGCCCGUACGGGUUCGAUCCCCGUCCGGAGCACCA